rnacentral:rRNA from 1 species
UGCAUAUCACUGUCUACUACAGAGGCUGAGUACAUUGCUGCUGGUUCUUGCUGUGCUCAACUGCUAUGGAUGAAGCAAACCCUCAAGGACUACGGCAUCAACGUGAAGAAUGUGCCUCUCCUCUGUGACAAUGAGAGUGCCAUCAAGAUUGCUCACAUCCCAGUUCAGCACUCGAAGACAAAGCACAUUCAGAUUUGUCAUCAUUUUCUUCGUGAUCAUGUGUUAAAGGGCGACAUCUCCAUCGAGCACGUGAAGACUGAAGAACAGCUAGCCGAUAUCUUCACAAAGCCCUUGGAUGAGAAGAGAUUUAGCAAGUUGCAGUGUGAGCUAAAUAUCUUAGAAUCUUCG